AUUGAACGCUGGCGGCAGGCCUAACACAUGCAAGUCGAGCGGAUGAAGGGAGCUUGCUCCUGGAUUCAGCGGCGGACGGGUGAGUAAUGCCUAGGAAUCUGCCUGGUAGUGGGGGAUAACGUCCGGAAACGGGCGCUAAUACCGCAUACGUCCUGAGGGAGAAAGUGGGGGAUCUUCGGACCUCACGCUAUCAGAUGAGCCUAGGUCGGAUUAGCUAGUUGGUGGGGUAAAGGCCUACCAAGGCGACGAUCCGUAACUGGUCUGAGAGGAUGAUCAGUCACACUGGAACUGAGACACGGUACAGACUCCUACGGGAGGCAGCAGUGGGGAAUAUUGGACAAUGGGCGAAAGCCUGAUCCAGCCAUGUCGCGUGUGUGAAGAAGGUCUUCGGAUUGUAAAGCACUUUAAGUUGGGAGGAAGGGCAGUAAGUUAAUACCUUGCUGUUUUGACGUUACCAACAGAAUAAGCACCGGCUAACUUCGUG
rnacentral:rRNA from 1 species